rnacentral:rRNA from 1 species
UACGGGGGGUGCGAGCGUUGUCCGGAAUCACUGGGCGUAAAGGGCGCGUAGGUGGUGUCGUAAGUUUGCGGUGAAAGCCCGGGGCUCAACCCCGGGUCUGCCGCGGAUACUGCGAGACUUGAGUGCUGUAGAGGCGGGUGGAAUUCCGGGUGUAGCGGUGGAAUGCGUAGAGAUCCGGAAGAACACCAGUGGCGAAGGCGGCCCGCUGGGCAGUGGCUGACGCUGAGGCGCGACAGCGUGGGGAGCAAACAGG